AGCGAACGCUGGCGGCAGGCCUAACACAUGCAAGUCGAACGAAGUCUUCGGACUUAGUGGCGGACGGGUGAGUAACACGUGGGAACGUGCCUUUAGGUUCGGAAUAACUCAGGGAAACUUGUGCUAAUACCGAAUGUGCCCUUCGGGGGAAAGAUUUAUCGCCUUUAGAGCGGCCCGCGUCUGAUUAGCUAGUUGGUGAGGUAGAGGCUCACCAAGGCUACGAUCAGUAGCUGGUCUGAGAGGAUGACCAGCCACAUUGGGACUGAGACACGGCCCAAACUCCUACGGGAGGCAGCAGUGGGGAAUCUUGCGCAAUGGGCGAAAGCCUGACGCAGCCAUGCCGCGUGGAUGAUGAAGGUCUUAGGAUUGUAAAAUCCUUUCACCGGUGAAGAUAAUGACUGUAGCCGGAGAAGAAGCCCCGGCUAACUUCGUGCCAGCAGCCGCUGUAACAC
rnacentral:rRNA from 1 species